UCAUCUCCGGGGGUAGAGCACUGUUUCGGCUAGGGGGCCAUCCCGGCUUACCAACCCGAUGCAAACUGCGAAUACCGGAGAAUGUUAUCACGGGAGACACACGGCGGGUGCUAACGUCCGUCGUGAAGAGGGAAACAACCCAGACCGCCAGCUAAGGUCCCAAAGUCAUGGUUAAGUGGGAAACGAUGUGGGAAGGCCCAGACAGCCAGGAUGUUGGCUUAGAAGCAGCCAUCAUUUAAAGAAAGCGUAAUAGCUCACUGGUCGAGUCGGCCUGCGCGGAAGAUGUAACGGGGCUAAACCAUGCACCGAAGCUGCGGCAGCAACGCUGAUGCGUUGUUGGGUAGGGGAGCGUUCUGUAAGCCUGUGAAGGUGGCCUGUGAGGGUUGCUGGAGGUAUCAGAAGUGCGAAUGCUGACAUAAGUAACGAUAAAGCGGGUGAAAAGCCCGCUCGCCGGAAGACCAAGGGUUCCUGUCCAACGUUAAUCGGGGCAGGGUGAGUCGACCCCUAAGGCGAGGCCGAAAGGCGUAGUCGAUGGGAAACGGGUUAAUAUUCCCGUACUUGGUGUUACUGCGAAGGGGGGACGGAGAAGGCUAUGUUGGCCGGGCGACGGUUGUCCCGGUUUAAGCGUGUAGGUGUGUGUUCCAGGUAAAUCCGGUUCACUUUAACACUGAGGCGUGAUGACGAGGCACUACGGUGCUGAAGCAACAAAUGCCCUGCUUCCAGGAAAAGCCUCUAAGCAUCAGGUAACAUCAAAUCGUACCCCAAACCGACACAGGUGGUCAGGUAGAGAAUACCAAGGCGCUUGAGAGAACUCGGGUGAAGGAACUAGGCAAAAUGGUGCCGUAACUUCGGGAGAAGGCACGCUGACACGUAGGUGAAGUGAUUUACUCACGGAGCUGAAGUCAGUCGAAGAUACCAGCUGGCUGCAACUGUUUAUUAAAAACACAGCACUGUGCAAACACGAAAGUGGACGUAUACGGUGUGACGCCUGCCCGGUGCCGGAAGGUUAAUUGAUGGGGUCAGCGCAAGCGAAGCUCCUGAUCGAAGCCCCGGUAAACGGCGGCCGUAACUAUAACGGUCCUAAGGUAGCGAAAUUCCUUGUCGGGUAAGUUCCGACCUGCACGAAUGGCGUAAUGAUGGCCAGGCUGUCUCCACCCGAGACUCAGUGAAAUUGAACUCGCUGUGAAGAUGCAGUGUACCCGCGGCAAGACGGAAAGACCCCGUGAACCUUUACUAUAGCUUGACACUGAACAUUGAGCCUUGAUGUGUAGGAUAGGUGGGAGGCUUUGAAGUGUGGACGCCAGUCUGCAUGGAGCCGACCUUGAAAUACCACCCUUUAAUGUUUGAUGUUCUAACGUGGACCCGUAAUCCGGGUUGCGGACAGUGUCUGGUGGGUAGUUUGACUGGGGCGGUCUCCUCCUAAAGAGUAACGGAGGAGCACGAAGGUUGGCUAAUCCUGGUCGGACAUCAGGAGGUUAGUGCAAUGGCAUAAGCCAGCUUGACUGCGAGCGUGACGGCGCGAGCAGGUGCGAAAGCAGGUCAUAGUGAUCCGGUGGUUCUGAAUGGAAGGGCCAUCGCUCAACGGAUAAAAGGUACUCCGGGGAUAACAGGCUGAUACCGCCCAAGAGUUCAUAUCGACGGCGGUGUUUGGCACCUCGAUGUCGGCUCAUCACAUCCUGGGGCUGAAGUAGGUCCCAAGGGUAUGGCUGUUCGCCAUUUAAAGUGGUACGCGAGCUGGGUUUAGAACGUCGUGAGACAGUUCGGUCCCUAUCUGCCGUGGGCGCUGGAGAACUGAGGGGGGCUGCUCCUAGUACGAGAGGACCGGAGUGGACGCAUCACUGGUGUUCGGGUUGUCAUGCCAAUGGCACUGCCCGGUAGCUAAAUGCGGAAGAGAUAAGUGCUGAAAGCAUCUAAGCACGAAACUUGCCCCGA
rnacentral:rRNA from 1 species